rnacentral:ncRNA from 1 species
CUUAUCCAGAGUGGCGGAGGGACAGGCCCGAUGAUGCCCGGCAACCGGCAGGCGACACGCCCGCAAGGUGCCAAUUCCUGCGGCCGCAUGGUUCGGCCGAAAGAUGAGG